GCUCCGGUAGUGUAGUCCGGCCAAGCAUCGCGGACUUUCGAUUCGCAGACCCGGGUUCGAAUCCCGGCCGGAGCACCA
rnacentral:tRNA from 1 species